rnacentral:lncRNA from 1 species
CGGUGUGUGGAUUUGUCUCGGUGCGGUUCUUCCUCUGCGUGUCCCGCCACUAUGAAGGAAACGCCGCUUUCCAACUGCGAGCGCCGCUUCCUGCUCCGUGCAAUUGAGGAGAAGAAGGUGCGAGGCCUGCGGGGUGGACACGCUGGCUUUGGGAGUAGACUCGGGUUACCGGUGGAUUCAUAGUCAGUUCGACCUGUGGUGUGGACUCGGAUGGUUCCCAGUGUGGACUCUGCCCAUUCCCCAAGCCUCAGGCCAGUAUUUUACCCUGGCCAGUUCCUUUGAGCCUCAAGCUCCACUAGUAUUCAGUGGCGGGGACAUUGGAACCCAGGAUCAGACACACACAGUUGCUACUCAUAAAUAUGUUAAAGGAAUAAAUGAUGUUUGUUUACAGCGGCUGGAUGGCAGACAAACCUAUGAUUACAGGAACAUCAGGAUCUCAUUCGGAACGGAUUAUGGAUGCUGUAUUGUAGAACUGGGGAAAACAAG